UACGGAGGGAGCUAGCGUUGUUCGGAUAUACUGGGCGUAAAGCGCACGUAGGCGGCUUUGUAAGUUAGAGGUGAAAGCCCAGGGCUUAACCCUGGAAUUGCCUUUAAGACUGCAUCGCUAGAAUCGUGGAGAGGUGAGUGGAAUCCGAGUGUAGAGGUGAAAUUCGUAGAUAUUCGGAAGAACACCAGUGGCGAAGGCGACUCACUGGACACGUAUUGACGCUGAGGUGCGAAAGCGUGGGGAGCAAACAGG
rnacentral:rRNA from 1 species